rnacentral:misc_RNA from 1 species
GAUGAAGAACGUAGCGAAAUGCGAUAAGUAGUGUGAAUUGCAGAAUUCAGUGAAUCAUCGAAUCUUUGAACGCACAUUGCGCCCCUUGGUAUCCCGAGGGGCAUGCCUGUUUGAGCGUCAUUUCACCACUCAAGCCUGGCUUGGUGUUGGGCGACGUCCCCUUUGGGGACGCGCCUCGAAACGCUCGGCGGCGUGGCACCGGCUUUAAGCGUAGCAGAAUCUUUCGCUUUGGAAGUCGGGGCCCCGUCUGCCGGAAGACCUACUCGCAAGGUUGACCUCGGAUCAGGCAGGGAUACCCGCUGAACUUAAGCAUAUCAAUAAGCGGAGGA